GAUGAACGCUGGCGGCGUGCCUAAUACAUGCAAGUCGAGCGAACAGACGAGGAGCUUGCUCCUCUAACGUUAGCGGCGGACGGGUGAGUAACACGUGGAUAACCUACCUAUAAGACUGGGAUAACUUCGGGAAACCGGAGCUAAUACCGGAUAAUAUAUUGAACCGCAUGGUUCAAUAGUGAAAGACGGUUUUGCUGUCACUUAUAGAUGGAUCCUCGCCGCAUUAGCUAGUUGGUAAGGUAACAGCUUACCAAGGCAACGAUGCGUAGCCGACCUGAGAGGGUGAUCGGCCACACUGGAACUGAGACACGGUCCAGACUCCUACGGGAGGCAGCAGUAGGGAAUCUUCCGCAAUGGGCGAAAGCCUGACGGAGCAACGCCGCGUGAGUGAUGAAGGUCUUCGGAUCGUAAAACUCUGUUAUUCGGGAAGAACAAAUGUGUAAGUAACUAUGCACGUCUUGACGGUACCUAAUCAGAAAGCCACGGCUAACUACGUG
rnacentral:rRNA from 1 species